rnacentral:rRNA from 1 species
UACGGGGGGAGCAAGCGUUGUCCGGAAUUAUUGGGCGUAAAGAGCUCGUAGGCGGUCUGUUGCGUCGGCUGUGAAAACCCGGGGCUCAACCCCGGGCCUGCAGCCGAUACGGGCAGACUAGAGUUCGGCAGGGGAGACUGGAAUUCCUGGUGUAGCGGUGAAAUGCGCAGAUAUCAGGAGGAACACCGGUGGCGAAGGCGGGUCUCUGGGCCGGUACUGACGCUGAGGAGCGAAAGCGUGGGGAGCAAACAGG